rnacentral:lncRNA from 14 species
CGCAAAGCCUCAUUUCAGCCGAUCAACCUGGAGAGGGAGGGGGAGGAGGGGCUGAGACGUUCUGCUGGAAUAAAAUAAGAGCAAGCGGAAAAUAAAUAAAAUAUAGACAUGUAGGUAGCUAAAGAUCUCCCUCCCACUCCGCCUGCCUCCUCCCCUCCCCCGAGCCGGGCAGCUCCGAUCCUGCAGAAACGCUUGAAACUGUUUCAGACCAAGACCUCAAUUUUGAAAUGUCUAACAGCCCCAGACUUAACGCACUUGACUGGAAGAUGGGAAAACUUUCUUCUUACAAGGCAGAGUGGGGAAUGUAAACCCUCUUCAUACACCCCAGUGACAACUACGAUGAGACCAUUCAGUUGUAUACAAGCGAAUAAACAAAAUAUAUGGGAGUGUACACAGUUGUACAGCUGACACCACACUGUGCUCAAGGGAAAAAUGGACGAGACAGAAGGCUCUCCAGCAACUCCAUCUGCAAUAGAGGCUUUGGAGAAUCAACACGGCUAUAAGAAACAAAAACUAUUUUAACAAGAAAUUUUACUUAUGGUUAUAAUAAAGAACAGCAACAAAUGAAAGUGAGGCUUAUU